rnacentral:lncRNA from 1 species
GUGGGUGGGUGUGUGCGCGUGUGUACAUGUAUCUGUGUUUAUGGUGUUUGUCUGUGUUUCAAGGAGCAUAGACAAAUUCAAGAAGAGGGCUAUUAGCCAGGAGGAGUUCAGGGCCGCUGUGGAGAGCAGGUUCGGCCUGGAGAUCUCUGAGCCCGAGUUUGAACAGCUGCUGGACAGACUGCCGCUGGACGCCUACGGAAACGUGCAGUAUCCCAUCUUCAUGGCCGCCUUCGAUACGAGCCGAGGAGUUCCCAGUCUUUUCCAGGCGCAGACCACCGAGGAUUGUGGGAAUAGAGAUGGUGUCAUGGAGGAGGGGGUUCGGAGCGUGGGAGAGGACAGAGGGAUGUUGGGACCGCGUCGGAGUGUCAGUCAG